rnacentral:tRNA from 1 species
GGCCCCGUAGUUCAACGGAUAGAAUAGCGGUUUCCUAAACCGUAGAUACAAGUUCGAUUCUUGUCGGGGCUA